CCCAACCCAACCUGGGGGGCGGCAAAGAUUCCGGGAGGAAUAACAUCCCGCUGGAAAGCCAAUUUGAAGAAGGAUUCUGUCCCUUGCAACUGAAAAAAUGAUUUGUCUUGCGUUCCUCCUGGCUCACCUUCCUGACUGCGUUGUUCCUUAUCAUCCUGGGCUCCUCUGCUGUGCUCUGAGGCCCACUGCUGGGAAGAACCACUGUGCUUGUCACUGCUCGUCACCACCUGUGACGCCCAGAUGCUGCUUUGCUGGCUUGGAUAAAGCAAGUUGCCAUGUUGGGGAGUCCCAUGUGCCAAGGAACUGAGGACAGUCUCCAGCCAACAGCCACUUAGGAGCCUUAGCCCCCAGUCCAACAACCCAAAAGGAACCGAGUCCUGCCGACAACCAGUUAAACACCCACUAAGCGGAUUUCAGGACCUACUAAUGAAGGCAUUGCCCAAGGUCACACAGCGAGCCAGAGGUGAAAGGGAAGCCAGAAGCAGAUGUCGCGGCCUCUAGUCCAUCCGGGCGCUCUCCCUGCCCUGUCCCCGGGCCGAGUCCAGUUUAGGCUGGGUGACUGCUCAUCCCAGAGAGCGCAGCCCAGGAAACAGUGGGAGGUGGAGGACGUGGAGCUUGGAUGGGGCCGGGAAUCCCCCAGGCUUGAGCGGGAUGGGCCACAGCCCUCUUUUCCCCCCACUGGUGAAACCCUGCUGAGGAAUUAAGUCAAUAUACAGAAAAUCACAGCCAAGAGCUGGAGAGAGAAAGAGAGCUCUGACAUCAUCAUUGAGCACCUGGAUCCAGCCAUACCUGAAGCCAGUGCCUCUACAGUGUUUACAUACGUUAGCUAAUAUUUCUUUUUAACUUAAG
rnacentral:lncRNA from 1 species